rnacentral:rRNA from 1 species
AGACCUGCAGAUGGAUCAUCGC